rnacentral:miRNA from 1 species
CAUUUUAUGUUGUUUUACUUAAAGUUGCAGAACCCAUUGACAAGUGAGGACUUACUGUUUUGCAUGGGACAUACUUAUACUAAAAGCAUUGUUUAUUGUGUAACAGGAUGUCCUGUAUUAUUAUUAGGAUGUCCUGUAUU